rnacentral:rRNA from 1 species
AUUGAACGCUGGCGGCGUGCCUAACACAUGCAAGUCGAGCGGUAACAGGUGUAGCAAUACAUGCUGACGAGCGGCGGACGGGUGAGUAAUGCUUGGGAAUCUGCCUAUUAGUGGGGGACAACUCGGGGAAACUCGGGCUAAUACCGCAUACGCACUACGGUGGAAAGCGGGGGUCGCAAGACCUCGCGCUAAUAGAUGAG